UUAAGCGACUAAGCGUACACGGUGGAUGCCCUGGCAGUCAGAGGCGAUGAAGGACGUGCUAAUCUGCGAAAAGCGUCGGUAAGGUGAUAUGAACCGUUAUAACCGGCGAUGUCCGAAUGGGGAAACCCAGUGCAAUUCGUUGCACUAUCGUUAACUGAAUACAUAGGUUAACGAGGCGAACCGGGGGAACUGAAACAUCUAAGUACCCCGAGGAAAAGAAAUCAACCGAGAUUCCCCCAGUAGCGGCGAGCGAACGGGGAGCAGCCCAGAGUCUGAAUCAGCUUGUGUGUUAGUGGAACGGUCUGGAAAGUCCGACGGUACAGGGUGAUAGUCCCGUACACCAAAAUGCACAGGCUGUGAACUCGAAGAGUAGGGCGGGACACGUGGUAUCCUGUCUGAAUAUGGGGGGACCAUCCUCCAAGGCUAAAUACUCCUGACUGACCGAUAGUGAACCAGUACCGUGAGGGAAAGGCGAAAAGAACCCCGGCGAGGGGAGUGAAAAAGAACCUGAAACCGUGUACGUACAAGCAGUGGGAGCACCUUCGGGUGUGACUGCGUACCUUUUGUAUAAUGGGUCAGCGACUUAUAUUCUGUAGCAAGGUUAACCGUAUAGGGGAGCCGCAGGGAAACCGAGUCUUAACUGGGCGUUAAGUUGCAGGGUAUAGACCCGAAACCCGGUGAUCUAGCCAUGGGCAGGUUGAAGGUUGGGUAACACUAACUGGAGGACCGAACCGACUAAUGUUGAAAAAUUAGCGGAUGACUUGUGGCUGGGGGUGAAAGGCCAAUCAAACCGGGAGAUAGCUGGUUCUCCCGAAAGCUAUUUAGGUAGCGCCUCGUGAAUUCAUCUUCGGGGGUAGAGCACUGUUUCGGCUAGGGGGUCAUCCCGACUUACCAACCCGAUGCAAACUACGAAUACCGAAGAAUGUUAUCACGGGAGACACACGGCGGGUGCUAACGUCCGUCGUGAAGAGGGAAACAACCCAGACCGCCAGCUAAGGUCCCAAAGUCAUGGUUAAGUGGGAAACGAUGUGGGAAGGCACAGACAGCCAGGAUGUUGGCUUAGAAGCAGCCAUCAUUUAAAGAAAGCGUAAUAGCUCACUGGUCGAGUCGGCCUGCGCGGAAGAUGUAACGGGGCUAAACCAUGCACCGAAGCUGCGGCAGCGACACUAUGUGUUGUUGGGUAGGGGAGCGUUCUGUAAGCCUGCGAAGGUGACCUGUGAGGGUUGCUGGAGGUAUCAGAAGUGCGAAUGCUGACAUAAGUAACGAUAAAGCGGGUGAAAAGCCCGCUCGCCGGAAGACCAAGGGUUCCUGUCCAACGUUAAUCGGGGCAGGGUGAGUCGACCCCUAAGGCGAGGCCGAAAGGCGUAGUCGAUGGGAAACAGGUUAAUAUUCCUGUACUUGGUGUUACUGCGAAGGGGGGACGGAGAAGGCUAUGUUAGCCGGGCGACGGUUGUCCCGGUUUAAGCAUGUAGGCUGAUUGUCCAGGCAAAUCCGGAUAAUCAAGGCUGAGGUGUGAUGACGAGGCACUACGGUGCUGAAGUAACAAAUGCCCUGCUUCCAGGAAAAGCCUCUAAGCAUCAGGUAACAUCAAAUCGUACCCCAAACCGACACAGGUGGUCAGGUAGAGAAUACCAAGGCGCUUGAGAGAACUCGGGUGAAGGAACUAGGCAAAAUGGUGCCGUAACUUCGGGAGAAGGCACGCUGGUGUGUAGGUGAAGCCCCUGCGGGUGGAGCUGAGACCAGUCGAAGAUACCAGCUGGCUGCAACUGUUUAUUAAAAACACAGCACUGUGCAAACACGAAAGUGGACGUAUACGGUGUGACGCCUGCCCGGUGCCGGAAGGUUAAUUGAUGGGGUUAUCCGUAAGGAGAAGCUCUUGAUCGAAGCCCCGGUAAACGGCGGCCGUAACUAUAACGGUCCUAAGGUAGCGAAAUUCCUUGUCGGGUAAGUUCCGACCUGCACGAAUGGCGUAAUGAUGGCCAGGCUGUCUCCACCCGAGACUCAGUGAAAUUGAACUCGCUGUGAAGAUGCAGUGUACCCGCGGCAAGACGGAAAGACCCCGUGAACCUUUACUAUAGCUUGACACUGAACAUUGAGCCUUGAUGUGUAGGAUAGGUGGGAGGCUUUGAAGCGUGGACGCCAGUCUGCGUGGAGCCAACCUUGAAAUACCACCCUUUAAUGUUUGAUGUUCUAACGUUGGCCCCUUACCGGGGUUGCGGACAGUGUCUGGUGGGUAGUUUGACUGGGGCGGUCUCCUCCCAAAGCGUAACGGAGGAGCACGAAGGUUAGCUAAUCCUGGUCGGACAUCAGGAGGUUAGUGCAAUGGCAUAAGCUAGCUUGACUGCGAGCGUGACGGCGCGAGCAGGUGCGAAAGCAGGUCAUAGUGAUCCGGUGGUUCUGAAUGGAAGGGCCAUCGCUCAACGGAUAAAAGGUACUCCGGGGAUAACAGGCUGAUACCGCCCAAGAGUUCAUAUCGACGGCGGUGUUUGGCACCUCGAUGUCGGCUCAUCACAUCCUGGGGCUGAAGUAGGUCCCAAGGGUAUGGCUGUUCGCCAUUUAAAGUGGUACGCGAGCUGGGUUUAGAACGUCGUGAGACAGUUCGGUCCCUAUCUGCCGUGGGCGCUGGAGAAUUGAGGGGGGCUGCUCCUAGUACGAGAGGACCGGAGUGGACGCAUCACUGGUGUUCGGGUUGUCAUGCCAAUGGCACUGCCCGGUAGCUAAAUGCGGAAGAGAUAAGUGCUGAAAGCAUCUAAGCACGAAACUUGCCCCGAGAUGAGUUCUCCCUGAGACUUUAAGUCUCCUGAAGGAACGUUGAAGACGACGACGUUGAUAGGCCGGGUGUGUAAGCGCAGCGAUGCGUUGAGCUAACCGGUACUAAUGAACCGUGAGGCUUAACCUU
rnacentral:rRNA from 1 species